GACGAACGCUGGCGGCGUGCUUAACACAUGCAAGUCGAACGGACAGGCCCUGCUUUUGUGGGGUGCUCGAUUGGCGAACGGGUGAGUAACACGUGUGUAACCUGCCCUUGACUUUGGGAUAACUUCAGGAAACUGGGGCUAAUACCGGAUAGGAGCUCCUGCUGCAUGGUGGGGGAUGGAAAGUUCCGGCUGUUGGGGAUGGACUCGCGGCUUAUCAGCUUGUUGGUGUGGUAGUGGCUUACCAAGGCUUUGACGGGUAGCCGGCCUGAGAGGGUGACCGGCGACAUUGGGACUGAGAUACGGCGCAGAAGCCUACGGGAGGCAGCAGGGGGGAAUAUUGCACAAUGGGCGGGAGCCUGAUGCAGCAACGCCGCGUGCGGGAUGACGGCCUUCGGGUUGUAAACAGCUGUCGCCGGUGACGAAGCGUGAGUGACGGUAAUGGGUAAAGAAGCACCGGCUAACUACGUG
rnacentral:rRNA from 1 species